ensembl:miRNA
UGGCUCUGUGUGGAAGACUAGUGAUUUUGUUGUUGUGUUUGUAAAGGUGACAACAAAUCAUAGCCUGCCAUACAGCCCAGGCUGCCACAGCCC